rnacentral:rRNA from 1 species
AACGAACGCUGGCGGCAUGCCUAACACAUGCAAGUCGAACGAAGCCUUCGGGCUUAGUGGCGCACGGGUGCGUAACGCGUGGAAUCUGCCCCUUGCUUCGGAAUAACAGCUAGUACUGACUGCUAAUACCGGAUGAAGUCUUCGGACCAAAGCUUUAUCGGCACGGGAUGAGCCCGCGGAGGAUUAGGUAGUUGGUGGGGUAAAGGCCUACCAAGCCGACGAUCCUUAGAUGGUCUGAGAGGAUGAUCAGCCACACUGGGACUGCGACACGGCCCAGACUACUACGCGAGGCAGCAGAGGGGAAUAUUGGAAAAUGGACGCAAGUCUGAUCCAGCAAUGCCGGGUGAGUGAUGAAGGCCUUAGGGAUGUAAAGCUCUUUUACCAGGGAUGAUAAUGACAGUACCUGGAGAAUAAGCACCGGCUAACUCCGUG